AAAAAUAAAAAAAAGUGUUCAAAACUGAAAAUUUCAGAAAAAAUAGCAAUGUGUCCGUGUUGUGUUCUUGGCCGAAAAGUGUGUUCUUGUUGUGUCUUGGCAGAGGUUUUUACUUGUAUUUGUUAUCUCUAAGUUUUAGUUAUGUUCCUCACUAACACAUUGAGUUUAUAUCUAGAUUUGAUCUUUAAAAAUUGAUGUUGUUGUUGUGAACAUAAGACUUGACCGAAUUGUUGUUGAAACAUUAUUGUGGUGGACUGUUUUGGCCUUGUGGUAUUCAUCUUGUUGUUUUUAUAAUCUUGUCCACGUGGUAUUUUUGCUCAUUG
rnacentral:lncRNA from 1 species